UACGGGGGGGGCAAGCGUUGUUCGGAAUUACUGGGCGUAAAGGGUUUGUAGGUGGCUUGCUAAGUCAGACGUGAAAUCCCUCAGCUUAACUGGGGAACUGCGUCUGAUACUGGCGAGCUUGAGUGCAGGAGAGGAACGCGGAAUUCCAGGCGUAGCGGUGAAAUGCGUAGAGAUCCGGAAGAACACCGGUGGCGAAGGCGGCCUGCUGGGACGUGGCUGACGCUGAGGCGCGACAGCGUGGGGAGCAAACAGG
rnacentral:rRNA from 1 species